UCAGGGAAUUAUGAUUAUGGUGCAGUUGGCUCAGCUAAAACUGCAACAUGUGCUGACUGCAUUGGCGCGUCAGUGUGCCGUUGAGUCUGUAAGACGGUGAGUCGGUGAGAUGCUAUGACCAAACAAAAAGUUGGCCCACUUUAACGCCCACAAACCGCCCACUAACUUCAAAAAAUCCUAUGACCAAAAAAAAAGUUGGCCCACUUUAACG